rnacentral:lncRNA from 1 species
ACUGAUGAAGAAAUUCUUAAAAUGCAAACAUAAAAGGAAAAUGUAUUUAAUAUGCAAUUUAGUCAUUAAAAUGUCUUAACAAUGGGAACAAAGUCUCUUUAACAACAUCUUAAUACAACCCCCAAAAACAAACAAAAAAAACCCCCCAAAAAACACAUCGGCUAUUGUACGUCCAAGGUAGUUGAAUAUUUUUUUUACGAAAAGCCCCAUGGUAUAAAAAUUCUACAUUUGCCAUAAAAUACAGGGUAAAGACUUGUGCAAACUAAAAAUAUCAAAGGCAACUAUAUAUUAAAAAUUUAGAAUUAAUUUUUUUUUAAAAUUUAUCGUUCAGCUCUUGCUGAACGAUAAUCACCGUAGGUGAAAUAAAAAUAAAAAUCGUAACUAUGCACAGGGCAGAGUCAAAGAAUGUUUCAGGGAAAGUCGUGAUUGGUUCCAUGAUGCAGUAUCAGGUGCCCAUACUUAAGAGGGCCGCCACUCAACUAGGAGAUCCAUAACGUUGUAACGUGGCACCACCAAGUUUCUUCUCAUUCUCUACAUUGAAGAUACUGUCCUAAGUUUGCUCUUAUUAAGAUGUUCGCAACUAACAUGCCCUUUUUAAUCAUUAAACUUACACAUUAAAUACGUUUUCUUGUUUACAAUAUUGUCUGUUAAUGUGUUUGAAAUCGGCUACUACAUCCAAACUUCUUUUUUUUCUUUUCUUAUUUGGGAUAGUAUAAACAUUAGGAUAGGCAGAAACACGUCACCUUGUGCACAAAGAGUCUGAUAUUCUGAAUAGGUAAUUGUAUUUAAUAUGUAUUCGAAGUAGUUAAAAAAUGGCUUUAUUAGUGAGAAAUAUGUUACAAUUAAUGGAAUUUUUUUUAGGAAUUUCUUUUUACGUGUCCCAAUUACCAUGCUACCCAAACUUCGAAAUUAAUGUUCUGGAACGUUAAGCCAAUAUUCCUUUCAUUUCUGUUUCGUGUUUGUGAUAAUUACGAACUGAUUCAUUUGUGGUUAAUGUCGAUUUAACGGUUGCAUUUUUACGUCUAGGUUUUAUUAUUUUAGUUCGUUAAUUCAGUAAUAUACAAUCUAUAGUGGACAUUAAAUAUCUUCCAUUAACAUUUAAUAAAUUAUUAACUUUCAUACUGUCCAAGUCUUAACAGAUAAUAACUGUCAUUAUUUAUGUAAUUAUGUAGCAGAUUACAGGUCAGGUCACAAAGCUGAUGUGAAACACGAUGUCUUCAGACAGACAGUUAUUGUAUAAUUACCAGCUAACGGUCUGGUCUAGAUUUGAUAGAGGUGGGGGCAUUUUAGUGUGUGUGUGUGUGUGUGCGUGCGUGCGUGCAUGUGUAUUUUUUUCUUUCCUCCUUUAAAAAAAAAAUGCUUGGAAUGAUGCAUUCAUGAGCAUUAUGAAGUGAAAGAAAUACGAACAAAAACUUAACGCAAUUCAAAAUCUAAUGAAUGUUUUGACAAAGUCGUGACUCCUUCCAAGUGUUUUAUCUAUAGUAGUGCCACUCCAGAGGACUGCCACUCCUGAUAUCGAUAACGAUAGAUUAUUCCUGAUCCGUCUGCAGGGCUGCCACUACUGAGACCAGUAAAGACACAUCCUUCCUGAUCUGCCUACAGAAGGAAAGCCAUUCCUGAUAUCGAUACGUCAAUCCUUUUAAGUGUGACCAGUUCCAUUUGCCCUGGUGUCACAUACUUGGGCGAUAUAAAAAUGGAAACUUGUCAGCCAUUAAAGAGCCUUUAACCCAACACAAUGCAGUUGUCAUUUGUUCCAAAACGAUGAUGCUACUACAUAUGCAUAAAAAGUACCAAUUCCUGUAAUAAUGUUUGUUUUUUGUUUUUAUGUUGAUAAUAAUUUUUUUUGUUGCAUUUGCUUCGAGUUGGGCUAAAAAAAACCUGUUUGCUUUUGUCAGUGAUUUGUUAACAAGCUUGUUAUUGAGUUUACCACAAUAUCAUCUACAAACAAUGUAACAUAAUUUUUUACUAAAGGUAUAUAUCAUGUUGACUGAUUUCAAGUUUGAAUGAAACAAAAUAGACCUACUGGUUUUAACCAUUUAAAACAAAUAACCUACAACCCUCCAAUUAAAACCUCUUGCUUCCAGAAACCCACCCACCCCUCCCACCAAAAACAAAAGAAAACAAAAAGAAAAAAAGGAAGAAAAAAAAGGAGGGAAAAAAGAAAAAAAGGAAAAACAAAGAAACAACA